AGUUUACUGAUUUUUAAUAAAUGUUUAAUUUUAAGCUGAAUUUUGUGAGUUGCAAAAAAAUUGUACUAUUUAUAGUUUGUUUCUUUUAUUCGUUUAUCUUCUGCUUCGAGGACCUAUACAUUUAUACAAAUGAACGUACAUGAAAAGUACUUUUCACAUGUUACAGAUUUUAUAAAUGUUAUGCCGGACAUUAAAUUUAAAAAACCUGAAACAUAUAAUUUUUAUUCAAUAACUAUAAAUGAAAAAAAUGCUUAAUUAUUGAUAAUACUCUAAGAACUUAACGUGAAAGUAUUAACUGCAUUAUUUUCCUCAGCAUUCUUUACACAGAUUGAUAAAAGUUUUACUUUUAAUUUCGGUUAUUUUCUGGCAUGUUUCGAAGAAACACGAAUUUGUUGGUUACAUGUAUUUAUCCAUAUUUAAGAUUUACAUAAACUUUUUUAGGUUUUUAAGAUGAUAGUAAAUCAGCCAAGUUAACAUCAAAUAAUUUAUUAUUUGAUUAUCACUUAUUUAUUGUUUCGCAAUCUUAUAUAUUAUACAUUUAAUUUAUUUUAAUUUUAUUGCGUAUGACUAGUUUACAUGGUGAUUACAUAAAAAAAAUAAAAGUACGAAUACGCAAAUGGUGAAGCACCAGCAUGAGACUGUUAUAAUGCCUACCAGAUAAAUCAUUCGAAUAAUAAAGGUGAAAUACAAGAUAUGAGAUAUAAAAACUAAUAGAAGGAAAUGGAGAAAUACAUCUUAAUGCAAACGCAUGCAACAUUAUGAAAAAUGGAGAAAUACUGAUUAAUACGUACGCAUACAGAUGACAGAACGAUCGUUAUGUUGCAUCCACGAGUUAUCUUGUCUUCAAAUUGUUGUGAAAUGUCCUACAGUUUAUGGAUCAAUGCUUUAAUUUCAUGAAGUUUUCAAAUUAAUUACACCUCUUGGUAUAUAUGCUUGAGACAUGAAACUGUAUUUUAAAGUAGCGGAUAUGCCACAAAGUUUAAUAUUUGCAUUUAUCUCAUCUGUAUCAUAGACUUCAAGUAAUAUAAAAUAACCUGCAAAAUAAAAUAUACAAAAACUUAUUGAGGGAAUUAAAGAGGAGAUGGAAGAUCAAAGAAAAAAAAAGCAGGAUAAGGAACUUUAUAAUAAAGGGAUGGAAGGAAGGGAAGGGAGAGAUUAGGAGAAGAGAGAGAAAGGAGAAUUAGAGAAGUUGUUUAGGGGGCUAGGAUUAAGAGGCAAAGUUAAGUAGUAAGGAGACUAGAAGCAGGCAGUAGAGAAGGUGGAAGUUAGUAGUGACAGUAGAAAAAGAGAAGAUGAAGAAAGAGAUUUUAGAAAAUACAUGGAAACUAAAGGGGGGAAAAGGGAUUGGAUUAGAUGACAUGGGAAGAGAGGAGAACAAAAUGGAGGUUAAGAAAGAUAGCAGUUAAUGAGAAAAUAAGGGAAAGAAAAGUAAAAGUAGGGCAAGUGAGAAUCUUGAUAGAGGGCGUAUGGUGGAAGUGGAAUAAAGAAAAAGAGGAAAUGAGGGAUGGGAAAGGGAGAAAAUAUAAAGGAUAAGAAAAGAGGAAAGGGUAAGAGUAAUGAGGAGGAAGGGGGAAGAAAAGGGGAGGAAAGAAGAAGCCAAAGACAGGGGGUAUAAGUAAGGGAAAAGGAGAGGGGAGAAGCGGAGGCAGAUAAGAAGAACACGGGAGUAGUGAGAGAGUGAAGAAAGGGAAGGGAGAGAAGAGAGAGGGGAAAGAGGAAUGGAAACAGAGAGUAGGGAAACACACGAAAAGAGGGACGGGUAAGAAUAGCAUUUUGGAAUAUGGCGGGAUUGAGAAAUAAAGAUAAGUAGUUUUGAAAAAGAUUGGAGGUAAUGGUAGUAAUAGAGACAUGGAUUGAGGAGGAGUGGAGAUACAUAAAAAGGAAAUUACCGAAAGAAUAUAAAUGGAAGCUACAGUGGGCAAAAAGAAAGAAUAAGAAGGAAAGAGCAAUAGGGGGAAUGAUAUAAUAUUAAGAGGGAGUUACUAGAGAAAAAAAAUGAACGAAAGGAAGUAAAGGGGAUUAUAAAGGGAAAGAUUAAAUAUGGUAAAGGGUCAUUAAGAAUAGUUGGAGUGUAUAUGAACCAGGAUUUAGAGGAAAAACUAGAAGGACUACGGGAAGGAGAGACAGGAUGGGAUAAAAACAAUAUGUGGGGAGACUUUAAUGCGAGGACAGGGGAGGAGAGAAGGAAGGUAGAAGAAGAAGAUGGUUGGGGAGAGGAGGAGAAAGGAAGGAAGUCUAAGGAUAUAAAGAUAAAUAAGAAAGAUAGAAAAAUGG